UAACAUCUUCAGGCUGGCUGGCACCCAGGCUAGGCCGGGCGGGUAUCUCUUCAAAAGGUUCACCCUCAUGCACGAAUAGGAGC
rnacentral:pre_miRNA from 1 species